rnacentral:rRNA from 1 species
AUUGAACGCUGGCGGCAGGCCUAACACAUGCAAGUCGAGCGGAUGAAGGGAGCUUGCUCCUGGAUUCAGCGGCGGACGGGUGAGUAAUGCCUAGGAAUCUGCCUGGUAGUGGGGGAUAACGUCCGGAAACGGGCGCUAAUACCGCAUACGUCCUGAGGGAGAAAGUGGGGGUUCUUCGGACCUCACGCUAUCAGAUGAGCCUAGGUCGGAUUAGCUAGUUGGUGGGGUAAAGGCCUACCAAGGCGACGAUCCGUAACUGGUCUGAGAGGAUGAUCAGUCACACUGGAACUGAGACACGGUCCAGACUCCUACGGGAGGCAGCAGUGGGGAAUAUUGGACAAAGGGCGAAAGCCUGAUCCAGCCAUGCCGCGUGUGUGAAGAAGGUCUUCGGAUUGUAAAGCACUUUAAGUUGGGAGGAAGGGCAGUAAGUUAAUACCUUGCUGUUUUGACGUUACCAACAGAAUAAGCACCGGCUAACUUCGUG